rnacentral:rRNA from 1 species
GAUGAACGCUGGCGGCGUGCCUAAUACAUGCAAGUCGAGCGAACGGACGAGAAGCUUGCUUCUCUGAUGUUAGCGGCGGACGGGUGAGUAACACGUGGAUAACCUACCUAUAAGACUGGGAUAACUUCGGGAAACCGGAGCUAAUACCGGAUGAUAUUUUGAACCGCAUGGUUCAAAAGUGAAAGACGGUCUUGCUGUCACUUAUAGAUGGAUCCGCGCUGCAUUAGCUAGUUGGUAAGGUAACGGCUUACCAAGGCAACGAUGCAUAGCCGACCUGAGAGGGUGAUCGGCCACACUGGAACUGAGACACGGUCCAGACUCCUACGGGAGGCAGCAGUAGGGAAUCUUCCGCAAUGGGCGAAAGCCUGACGGAGCAACGCCGCGUGAGUGAUGAAGGUCUUCGGAUCGUAAAACUCUGUUAUUAGGGAAGAACAUAUGUGUAAGUAACUGUGCACAUCUUGACGGUACCUAAUCAGAGAGCCACGGCUAACUACGUGCCAGCAGCCGCGGUAAUACGUAGGUGGCAAGCGUUAUCCGGAAUUAUUGGGCGUAAAGCGCGCGUAGGCGGUUCUUUAAGUCUGAUGUGAAAGCCCACGGCCCAACCGUGGAGGGUCAUUGGAAACUGGAAAACUUGAGUGCAGGAGAGGAAAGUGGAAUUCCAUGUGUAGCGGUGAAAUGCGCAGAGAUAUGGAGGAACACCAGUGGCGAAGGCGACUUUCUGGUCUGUAACUGACGCUGAUGUGCGAAAGCGUGGGGAUCAAACAGGAUUAGAUACCCUGGUAGUCCACGCCGUAAACGAUGAGUGCUAAGUGUUAGGGGGUUUCCGCCCCUUAGUGCUGCAGCUAACGCAUUAAGCACUCCGCCUGGGGAGUACGACCGCAAGGUUGAAACUCAAAGGAAUUGACGGGGACCCGCACAAGCGGUGGAGCAUGUGGUUUAAUUCGAAGCAACGCGAAGAACCUUACCAAAUCUUGACAUCCUUUGACAACUCUAGAGAUAGAGCCUUCCCCUUCGGGGGACAAAGUGACAGGUGGUGCAUGGUUGUCGUCAGCUCGUGUCGUGAGAUGUUGGGUUAAGUCCCGCAACGAGCGCAACCCUUAAGCUUAGUUGCCAUCAUUAAGUUGGGCACUCUAAGUUGACUGCCGGUGACAAACCGGAGGAAGGUGGGGAUGACGUCAAAUCAUCAUGCCCCUUAUGAUUUGGGCUACACACGUGCUACAAUGGACAAUACAAAGGGCAGCGAAACCGCGAGGUCAAGCAAAUCCCAUAAAGUUGUUCUCAGUUCGGAUUGUAGUCUGCAACUCGACUACAUGAAGCUGGAAUCGCUAGUAAUCGUAGAUCAGCAUGCUACGGUGAAUACGUUCCCGGGUCU